AUUUUGCUUCUUGCUCUUUGGACAGACAUACAGGAUGCUUCAUUCUGCAUCUACAUUAAUUUUUAUUUUAGAACCAACAUAUUCCUAUAAAUCUUGAAAAAUAUUUGGGUACUAAAUUACAAACAAGACUACUUUUGAAGGACAUUUAGGAAGUACCCAGUCGUGAUAUAAAGAAUGGUGAAUGGCGUGCUACCGUGUUCUAGAAGUCAUGAUGGUUAUCAAACUGAGCAAUCAUGGAGUCAUACUGUCCAUCCUGACAGAGCCUUACCGCCAAGCCAAGAACAGAAGCCAUGAAUGUCUUUGGGUCCGCUGAGAAGAGUUCAUGCUGAAAUUCCUACACAAAUCAAGUCUCUGAAAGAAACCCAAGCCUUAGAAAAUGGAAAUAGGCAGAACUCCAUCUACCACCGCGUGUGGAGACAGGGAACUGUCUGUCUGUCUCGGUCUGGGUGUGGAAAAAGUCUCUCCCAAGAGAAAUUAACAUCAUACCCAUUAAUAAAUUAAAAAAUGCUUCCUGGAAAAAAAAUGGGUCUAGUAAAAAUUUCUCAGUAUAUAUCAGUAACCAACCGCAAAUAAAACAAUAAAAUAAAAUAGCAAUAUAUACUUAUAAUAAGAACGAAAGUGUGGAAUGUUGAUGUUUCUCAAUGAUGUUGAUAAAGGAGGAUGGUGGGCAUGCUCACUUGUUAACAGCAGGAGGGCAGACUGGUGCAGUUACGUUGGACAUCACUGUUACGUUAUCUUGCAAGACUAAUAUUUUUAUCCUAAGACUCAGCAAUCAUCCUUGGUAUUAACUACACAGGAUGACAAGUAUGUCGCAGCAUACAUCUGUGGUAUUAGAGCAGCUUUUGCUAUAGCCUAUAGCUGAAAACAGUGAAGAUUAUUUUCUACCAGUAAAAGAACAAGCAAACUGGGCUACAUAUAUACUUGCAACAGAAUUAUCAUCCAUCAAUAAAAAUAAUAGCCUAUCAUAGUUCAGGAGACUAGUUCUGAUGUGUAUUCUGUGACUUUUGGCUAUGAUUGCUAAUUUUAAGUAUUGUCCUAACUAUGUUAUGGUGUUGAGAUGUCUGGUCAAACACCAGUAGAAUAGUACUAAGAAAAAAAAUUUUUAGAUGUGUUUUACACUUAAACUGAUUAAUUUUGAGCAAAGCAUAUUAGUUUCCACUAUGUGGUAGGGUUUCAUCAGACCAAUUGAUAGCUUGAUAAGAAAAGACUGAAGUACCUCAGAAGAGCUACUUUCAUAACUCUAACCUCCAAAUAGAUUUCAUAAUUCACACUAACACUGUCUUAGUUAUUACCACUAUGAUGAAACACCAUGACCAGAAGCAAGUUGGGAAAGAAAGGAUUUGUUUGGCUUACACUUCUAUAUUACUAUAUUCUAUAGUCCCUCAUCAUUGAGGGAAGUCAGGACAGGAACUUCAACAGGGCAGAGUGAGGUGGAAAAAUUCUAGUUUCUUUAUGGAAACUCAGAUGAAUCAUGUGAUGUUUUUCUGGAAGCUGUCUAAUGAGAGGAUAUUUUGCUGAAGCAGAUCUGCGAAAGGAUAUUUUUCUGAGGCUGACACUUGAGAGGAUCUCUGAAAGGGCAUUAAAAUAACCCGACAUUCGACUUGCAGUGCUUUGCUGGUCUUCGCCGAUCUUCUCUUGCUGUGACUUUGUAGAGAGCAAAGCAGCAAAAAACUCACGAUAGUCUGGCUGCUUCUUGUCACUUUCAAAGAGUUGAGCCGAUUCGGUGGAGUUUUGCAGUUCCUUCUGAAUCAAGCCUCUGCUACUGAUUCAUGUUUGGUGUUUGCUGAUUGGACUGGACUGCUGGUAUCCUGACAGUGAAGUUUGGUGUGGUCCCGAAGAACUACUUCUAAACAGGUCCACAUCCCUCACGUCUUUUUAACCAUUUCCUCCCCUAACUUUGCUCUUAAAGCAGGUUUCGAAAAAUCUCAGCCUGCAGGGCAGGAAACAGGAAGCAAGAGCUGAUGUGGGGGUGUCUGCUUUCUUACAGAACCCAGAAAAACCACCCUAGAGAUGACACUACUCACAAGGCUUUGGGCCUUCUUACAUCAACCGCUAAUUAAGAAAACACCCAAGAAUGUUACUUACAGCCAGGUCUUAUGGAGGCAUUUUCCCAGUUGAGGUUUUAUUCUCUCAGAUGACUCUAGCCUGUGUUAAGUUGACAUAAGUCUUGUCAGCACAAUUAAUCUCUUAUCAAACUGACAUACAAGCAUAUCGCUGUUAAGCCAUAACCUUGUCUUUCUUGUUCACCCACAAGAUAAUGAAUUAAUAUCAACCUUGCAAUACAAACAUUCCAAAAUUUAAAAGUCCCACCAUCUUUAAUGUCAAACACUUAAAAAAAAAAAAAAAGUAUCUUCCAAAUAGCCAGUCUCUUUUAAAGCCCAAAGUCUGUAAAACUCCAAAAUAUCUUUUAAAAGUUCAAUCUUCAACUGUUAGCACCCAUAAAAGCAAAAGUAAAUUCAAUUAAAUACCUUUUUGCUUCAAGGUGAAUGGCACCACAUAUUAAUUCAUUGAUAGUAAGAUGUAAACAUAGACACCCAGUCUGUCUCUUCGCUGGGCUCUGCUCACUACUGCGUUCUCACUGGGUGAUCCUGGCUCAGAUGCACUGGCUCCCUAGUCAGAUAUGGCGACUCCUCUCAUUUCCACGUGUGUUCUUAGAUCUCGUCUCGAUCAUUUCUCAAUGGUUACCCGAAUAUCACAGUUUGAUUCUAUAUGGUGACUCUUCUGGGACUUUCCCAAGAUCAACAGGAUCUAGAAGAUCCCACAUUUCCUCUAGAAGAUAUGAAUGAGAGAUUUUUAGCUCCCAAGAACAGUCCCAGGCCAAGAGGACAAGGUCUCUGCAUUCUAUAAAAUAUAUUUGCUUUACUGUAUAUUCCUCAAUAACAUGUAUAGCUUUG
rnacentral:lncRNA from 1 species